AAAUGUACCUUGCAGGCAAAAUACCAUGUCAUAAAAAUGGUUUUCCCAGGAAGAAGCUCAUCCAUUGUACUCAGGGUAUGUUGCUGAUCCCUGUGGUUUCCCUAAAUGUGGGGAACUCAGCUACAUAAUAUAUGUUAAAGAGGGCAUUAUAAUUUCCUGG
rnacentral:snRNA from 1 species